UACCAGAUGAUCCUCAGGGGUGUGGGGUGCAGGCUUCAAACCUGAAGCUGUGUAGCGACAGAGUGAUUCAAUUCCACCUUUCAGG